UUUGUCGCUCCCACUUCCCAACCUUCACCGUCACUGUGCGAAGAGUCUACGAAGUCGUCGCACCGUGCGAAGUCGCUGCAGUCACCAUGCGAAGUUGCCUCGUCACCGUCGCGUGUUGUUUCUGCGCUCUUCGUCUGCUAGCAUCACUGUGCGAAGUCGCCUACGAAGUCACUCCUAGUCUGUGUCGCCCUCAUUGUCCAUCUCUUGUACACUUUCUCCAUCUAAAGGUGUUAGCAUUCUUUGCAGGAGCUCUACUGGAGAAGCAGAUAGUUUUUGUCUGUUCUAAUUUGGGUUGUUGUUAGCUUUAAAAGCAUAUCUGAACAAGGAUCUGGGAGCUCUUGUAGAAGCAUUUUUUUUGUAAGGAAUGAUAUUUGUGAAGCUAUUGGCGCCGCGAAUCCACAUUGCCAUAUUUAGAUCCCGAGCUCAACGGGGAAAGAUUGCUUGUCGGUGCCAACUUUGCUUCUGCUGGAAUUGGAAUUCUCAAUGACACUGGAAUCCAGUUUUGCUCAUGUCAACCGGGAAGCUAUGAGUGUGGAUAUUAUACCAUGAGGCACAUGCAUAGAAUCAUAUCCGCAAACAUUGUUGACUCAUGGGAUAUGAUUUUCAAUGACACAUCUCCAAUGGAUCAAGGAGUCUUGAAGGAAGUUCGUGAGCAGUGGGCUUCGUUUCUUUUGAGUGUUUAUAUAAAAUGAUGUUAGGUGUUUUAUGACUUAUAUAGUAAUUCGUUUUGGAGUAGUAUUAUAUUUCAUAUAAAUAUUAGAUUCUAUUUCACGUAAAUAUUAGAUUGAAUGAGAUUUGUUUUCUGGAUGUUUUGAAUAAUUAUAUACAGUAUAUAAGAUGAUGUUAGGUAUUUCAUGACUUAUAUAGUAAUUCACUGUGGAGUAGUAUUAUAUUUCAUAUAAACAUUAGAUUCUAUUUCAUG